UGAAGACAAUAGCUGUUCAGAUAUAUUAUGGUCACCAUGAACAUAUAAAAUGCCCCAGUACUACUUUGAUUCAUUCCAUUCUAAAUCUAUUCCUUUUCAGGUUUUCUGCUUUCCACAAGAAAAUUACAAGUCUCCUAAUCAAAAGCCACUUUGAGAUUUCAAUCAAAAAUGGAAGAAGGAGAAAAAACCCAGUAAGAACUACAAGGUAUCACCCUCCCAUAGAUGUGGGCUGCAUGUGACUCCACACAGUGUUUCUGUCUCAGGAAGAAGAGGGCAAAACGUGCCUUCAAUUCAUAUGAAGUUGACUGCAGGACUGUGGCCUGUGGGCUCUACACUCCAGAAGUUUUCAUCCAAUAGUGGAGUGGAGGAUGGACCUUAAGAACAUUCUCAGAAGGAACAUUGCUCCUUGGAAGGCUGUCUCAUUAAUAAA
rnacentral:lncRNA from 12 species